AGCGAACGCUGGCGGCAGGCCUAAUACAUGCAAGUCGAACGGAUCCUUCGGGAUUAGUGGCGGACGGGUGAGUAACACGUGGGAACGUGCCCUUUGGUUCGGAACAACUCAGGGAAACUUGAGCUAAUACCGGAUGUGCCCUUCGGGGGAAAGAUUUAUCGCCAUUGGAGCGGCCCGCGUCUGAUUAGCUAGUUGGUGAGGUAAAGGCUCACCAAGGCGACGAUCAGUAGCUGGUCUGAGAGGAUGAUCAGCCACAUUGGGACUGAGACACGGCCCAAACUCCUACGGGAGGCAGCAGUGGGGAAUCUUGCGCAAUGGGCGAAAGCCUGACGCAGCCAUGCCGCGUGAAUGAUGAAGGUCUUAGGACUGUAAAAUUCUUUUACCAGGGACGAUAAUGACGGUACCUGGAGAAAAAGCCCCGGCUAACUUCGUGCCAGCCGCCGCCGUAAUAC
rnacentral:rRNA from 1 species